GCUUGCAGACAGACAAUUUAAUUUAGCACUGCAUCUGUGAAUUACUAAACUUAAGUGCACUUAGUACAACAAAUGGCACCGAGAAACAAAACAUUGUCUUUAUUUCUCUGGAGGAUAAGUGCCACUUUUAAAAAAUUACUUCUUUAAAAUAUGUUUUUAAAAAACCUAGAGCUUAAGACAUAUAUAAAAUAUUAGGGCAAAUACAUGAAAGACUUCUGUGAGUCUUUGUUUCCUUUUCUGCAGUCGCCCUCACCUAUUCUUGCUUGGAAACACUAGCAGACAUGACUCAAAGUCUGUUUCCAGCUGGUGUGUUCACUUCUACUACUGCUGCUGCCAUUUUGAAUUUGCAGAAAACCCGAGCUGAGCUCCCGUACGAUAAGGGAAACCUCACAAGGGUCAAAAACCCUGAGAUCUCAGAAGGAUUCCAGUGCUGUUUCCCAGAGGACGGCCUGUUGAGUAUUCACUGUAUCUAUGCACUAUGCAUUAGAGAGCUGUUUGGUGCCACUGAACCAAGCACAUUUUGGCUAGGACUCUGACCACACUCUGUAUUUCAAGACUGUACUCUUAGAACCAACACAGGCGUACAUGUCAUCCUAAAGUGGAAAUAUACUUCUGCAUAUUGCCUGCAUUUACAGAGCAGGCCCUUCACCUGUCACAUGAGACUAGAGCCUAAGUGUGCAACACUGGAGUGUGUCCUCAGAUUCACUUCCUGCUUGGAAGGCAGCCUUCGGUGUCCAGGUCUCAGUAACCUUGGCCCACUGGAGUGGAACCGUGGCGGGCACCAGGUGACUGAGAGGCAAAGAGGAUGGUGACGGGCCAAAGCCUUGGAUGCCAGGGUGAUGACAGAGGAAGCCAGCUGAAGGUGCAAAGCCAUCAGCACUUCUGGCCUUAGUGCUGACAAAGGAUGUUACCAGCACCCACCCAGACUGCCUCGCUCUUUCCCAGUCAUCUUAUAAAAAGGUGCUCCUUGCAUUAACUUAAAAUCUGUCUUUGAAUAUCUUGCUCCUUCCUGGGCCUCUGUAGCCUACGGGAAAACAGCCCAUCUAUCCUCCACCAUUCAUCCGGCAAGGAAAAGCCAUGUGAGCAUUCAUUUCCCUUAUUACCAUCCUUCUUUCUAUCCAUCCUCCCUUCUUUUUUUUUCUUCCUUUUCUUCCUCCCUUCCUGGUCACUCUCUCCUUCUUCCCUCCAUCCUAGACAAGUGUCUUCAGCUAGUCUUCAUGUUAUGAUUUUAACUGUUCUGCAUGAAACUUUAAAUAAGGUUCUUUAAUCCAAAGUCAUAAGGAAAGCUAAAGUUUCUAAUAAAUUAGGACCAGAGGCAAAUUCCAGUGUUUCCCCAUGUGUCUUCUCUCCCUGGUCACACAUAUGUUGUGUGUACCACUCCACAAAUGGCUGUUCUAUCCUGGGUCCCAACUGGAUUCCACGCACCUCCCACCAAAGGCUACUCUCAAGAGCUCAUUUCCCUCUUCUUUCUGAGUCUGCAGGUGGACUGUCCCAGCCUUCGUAGCAGUGGCCUCUGUAUUCUACCAGAGGAAACUGAGUGAAGGCACAUGGGCCUGGCCAUAAGAUCUCUGCAGCAGGUCUAGUCUGUUCCCCUUUGUGGCUCACUGUAAUGGAAAGGACGACACUGACCUUAAAGGCUACACACUGAAGUGAGGUGGUUCCUUCAUCUGGGACUCUGAAUGGUGAGGAGAUGCUCCACUCGCCAGAAAUAUCCAGCUCAGUCUGUCAAGUGAGCAACAAAAACUCGCAUGUUUGAACAUGCUUAAGUCUAUUUCUCCUCCCCUAAUACUUGGACCUUUAACAUCUCACUCCAUGCCUGUUAUCAGUGAAUGUGUCUCUUCCAACAACCUUUAAACAUGGGCAGUGUCUGCACGCCCUCCAGCCCCUAAGAAGACACUUCCCAGCUCACAGUGGGCAUUCACUGAACACAUAGGAAAUAACCAGAAUCUAAACCGAAUCCUCCUCCGUGACUUUUAUGCACUCUUACCAUAUUUUUUCAAUAAGUAUAAUCUCUCCCUAGCUUAUAGAUGAUGCACAUUCUCUGUGGGGGAAAUUUUACUCCAAAGAUGUUAUAAAUGUGGCUUAUGAAUUAUUAUUUCUGGUAUUUGUGAAGCCGUUUCCUCAAGAACUGGGCAAAUGCCUGAUUUCCCAGAGGAUCAGCAUAACUCUGUUUAUAUUACCGUUUAAAGACUGUCUUGGAGUCUUUAAAGUAGCUCAUCUCUGGGACAGAAGUCUUUGCCGGGCCUUGCAAAUGUGGAAUUUGGAGCUAGGCAGAAGUGUUUUUGAACUGGUACUCAGACCACCACAUCUGGAUGGACUUGGUGUGCACUCAGGCAGAAAACAGAAACCUCAUUCUAAUAAUAGCAACUUGUAACCCAUUUAUGCCAUAAUCCGUCUUUUCAAACUCUGCACAUUUCUUCAUUUUCAUACAUUCUUUCUAGUGAAAUGUAAGUGAUAACAGGAAGGCCCCACACAAUAUGCUGAUUUCCUGACACAGGUCAAGAUCCCAUAUUUCGGGUUUCAUCUCGCCUUAUACUUUAUACAAUAUAACUAUUGCACAAAGUAUGAUUUAUAAUCAUUCCCUUGUUCAAAACUCCCCCUGCUAA